rnacentral:rRNA from 1 species
AUGGCGGAUCGCCCAGUGUCCACCAAGCAGCAAGGGCACACUCAGUCCUACUCUGUUGAUCCCCACUGGUACAUGGACUCUGAGGCCACGGAGCAUCUGACGAGUGAGAUGGGCAAGCUCCAUACUCGCGAACCCUACCAUGGCUCCGACAAAAUCCACACUUCAAAUGGAGCAGGUAUGCAUAUAUCUCAUAUUGGUCAAGCAUCUCUUCUCACUAGGCAUGCAAAUAGGAGUCUUCAACUUCGUAAUGUGCUUAGAGUUCCCUCUGUGACACGUAAUCUUCUUUCUGUUCCUAAACUUACACGUGAUAAUAAUGUGCUUUGUGAAUUUCAUCAUUUUGAUCUUUUUAUUAAGGAUCAGGGCACGAGGGACAUUCUUCUUAGCGGGCGGUUGUGCUAG